rnacentral:snoRNA from 1 species
UCUACCUGUAGGCAACUGCCAAGGUUGCCUUGUACCUAGGCAAGUGUUACACUGCUGGAAGAAAAGCAGCUAUUAGCUAGCGUGUAUUCUGAGCGCCAAAUUUGUGUUAACCAUGCCAGUAUAGCAGCAUAUU